rnacentral:rRNA from 1 species
GAUGAACGCUGGCGGCGUGCCUAAUACAUGCAAGUCGAACGAAACUUCUUUAUCACCGAGUGCUUGCACUCACCGAUAAAGAGUUGAGUGGCGAACGGGUGAGUAACACGUGGGCAACCUGCCCAAAAGAGGGGGAUAACACUUGGAAACAGGUGCUAAUACCGCAUAACCAUAGUUACCGCAUGGUAACUAUGUAAAAGGUGGCUAUACUACCGCUUUUGGAUGGGCCCGCGGCGCAUUAGCUAGUUGAUAGGGUAAAGGCUUACCAAGGCAAUGAUGCGUAGCCGAAUUGAGAGGUUGAUCGGCCACAUUGGGACUGAGACACGGCCCAAACUCCUACGGGAGGCAGCAGUAGGGAAUCUUCCACAAAGGGCGAAAGCCUGAUGGAGCAACGCCGCGUGGGUGAAGAAGGUCUUCGGAUCGUAAAACCCUGUUGUUAGAGAAGAAAGUGCGUGAGAGUAACUGUUCACGUUUCGACGGUAUCUAACCAGAAAGCCACUGCUAACUACGUG